CGUCCUCGCAGGGGCCAUCGCCUUCCUCCCCAGGGGGGUCACCUUCAGAGCGCGGGCCUCUGGGUUCCGAGGGUGCUGGUGACCUGAGAGAAGGGAGGGGACAGAGGAGGAGACACACCUGAUCAGCCCGGGAGACUUUGGAGGAGGCGGGCCGGCCGGGAGGAAGUGGGGGAGGAGGGACCGGAGCACCCCAGGAUCGAAGAGGGCGCACGGGCCCGGCCCUCCCACGCGCCCUCCAGGGACCCGGCAGCCAGACAGACGGACAGGCGGACCGCUAGGGAGCUGAAGUACCCGGACACACGCACGAGCGCAGAACAAAGGGCCGGACAUGCUCCAGCCCGCUCCGCCUGCGCCUCGGCCUUGCGCGCGGGGGCCCGGGUUACCUGCGCAGAGCCAGCUGUGAUGUAAAGAAGUUUGUGCUGCAUGAGAGAGAUAGCACCUGAAGAAAAUGAGGCCCUGGAGGAUGAGAGACUCUAAAGGAAAAGGGAAGGGCCUGCUGUCUUCCAGCCACGCCAGCCCCCAACUGAGAAGCGG
rnacentral:lncRNA from 1 species